rnacentral:rRNA from 1 species
GACGAACGCUGGCGGCGCGCCUAACACAUGCAAGUCGAACGAGCGAGAGAGAGCUUGCUUUCUUGAGCGAGUGGCGAACGGGUGAGUAACGCGUGAGGAACCUGCCUCAAAGAGGGGGACAACAGUUGGAAACGACUGCUAAUACCGCAUAAGCCCACGACCCGGCAUCGGGUUGAGGGAAAAGGAGCAAUCCGCUUUGAGAUGGCCUCGCGUCCGAUUAGCUAGUUGGUGAGGUAACGGCCCACCAAGGCGACGAUCGGUAGCCGGACUGAGAGGUUGAACGGCCACAUUGGGACUGAGACACGGCCCAGACUCCUACGGGAGGCAGCAGUGGGGAAUAUUGCACAAUGGGGGAAACCCUGAUGCAGCGACGCCGCGUGGAGGAAGAAGGUCUUCGGAUUGUAAACUCCUGUUGUUGAGGAAGAUAAUGACGGUACUCAACAAGGAAGUGACGGCCAACUACGUG